rnacentral:rRNA from 1 species
AUGAACGCUGGCGGCGUGCUUAACACAUGCAAGUCGAACGGUGAAACAGGAGCUUGCUCCUGCGGAUCAGUGGCGAACGGGUGAGUAACACGUGAGUAACCUGCCCCAGACUCUGGGAUAAGCACUGGAAACGGUGUCUAAUACCGGAUACGAGCUUCAGCCGCAUGGCUAGGAGCUGGAAAGAAUUUCGGUCUGGGAUGGACUCGCGGCCUAUCAGGUAGUUGGUGAGGUAACGGCUCACCAAGCCGACGACGGGUAGCCG